rnacentral:misc_RNA from 1 species
AACGCACAUUGCGCCCGCCGGCAUUCCGGCGGGCACGCCUGUUCGAGCGUCAUUUCAACCCUCGCGCCCGGCGCGGUGAUGGGGAUCCGCGGCACCGCGGGCCCUGAAAACCAGUGGCGGCACCGCCUGGAACGCAGCGUAGUAAAAACACCUCGCUCGCGGCUCCGGGUGGCUGCCCGCCGUGAAACACCCCCCUAGAGUUGACCUCGGAUCAGGUGGGAAUACCCGCUGAACUUAA